rnacentral:snRNA from 1 species
AGCUUUGCGCAGUGGCAUUACCAUAGACAAUGAGGUUAAACCGAGUCGUGGUUAUUGCUAGUUGAAAACUUUUCCCAAUACCCCGCUAGACGACGUGAAAUAUCGUCGGCUAAGCAAUUUUUAACGGCCCACUAGUGGG